CAAAAAAUAGUUUAUAAAAAAUAAAGGCUUUGGAAGCUUUUGAAGAAUAAAGUUUCUUUUUUGA
rnacentral:tRNA from 1 species